rnacentral:lncRNA from 1 species
GGAGUGGAUAUUUUGGGGAAAAAUAGUAAAAGCCAAAUAUCCUAGCUGUUCUUUUUCUUUCUUCUUGUUAUUUAGAAAAAAAUAAAAUUCUAAUUCCAUCAGCAAGAAAUCGAUUCAAUCAGAAUGUCAAUCUGGGUUGUUUUUUCUUGAAACUCUCUCUGGUCGUAUGGAUUUUUGUUCCAUUAUGUCGUUAUGUGCUGUUAUGUCUUCGUUGGCUUCUGUUACGUCCCAUCUGUUUCAUCAGCAAGUUUUCAAAUUGAUUCCAUCUGCAAGCUUUGAUGUAUUUAUAGCUGAUCUGGUCUUCCAAAAACUUGUGGUUAAGAUUUCUCUAAAACAUCCUUUCAUUUUAGUGGCUUUGCAAUUUCGGUUCUCUGAAAUUCCUUUUCUUCUAAAGGAAAUGCCCUUUUUUGUUCUUGAUUUACUAUCCGUUUCUUUGUCAAUUUGUCAUUUGUUAUGUAAUUUUUAUUACUAGAAUUGAAUUUUCUAUAUCUUAUAUACUAUAGAAUUUUGAUGUAACAAGAUAACUUUAAAUGACCUUUGCAAAAUAGUUUGGACAUCUUAAGAGAAAACUAAAUGUAAGUCUUUAUAUGUGUGACGACUAGGUCAGUCAUCUCAUGAGUUACCACUCUGUUUUUCCCCAUUUCUGAUUUCUUAUGCUUCGUUAUCCGUGUUUUAUGUGAUCGGGUUGAUUAGUUUGAGUUCGGAGAGGAUUUGGUAAGAAAUGAGAUACUUAGUCUCUUUUGAGAAAGUUUAAGUUGGAAAAGUCAACCGGAUGUUAGUUUAUGCGUUAGAGGGCUCGGAUGUGAGUUUCGGUGGUUCGAAAAGCUUCGGGAGGUGAUUUAUGGCUUAGGAGCGUGAUCAGAAUUGGUUUUGGAGGUCCGGAGUAGAAUUAGGCUUGAAUUGGCGAAAUUGAUAUUUUGGCAAUUUCCGGUUGUUAGGCGAGAUUUUGAUAUAGGGGUUGGAAUGGAAUUCCGAGAGUUGCAGUAGCUUCGUUAUGUUAUUUGGGAUGUGUGUGCAAAAUUUCAGGUCAUUCAGACGUGGUUUGGUUGUGUUUUUGAUUAACAGCGUAUUUCGAAAGAUUUUUAGAAACUUAGGCUUGAAUCCGAUGUGAUUUGGUAGGUUUGAUAUUGUUUGAAGUGUUUUGAUGAUUGGAACAAGUUUGAAUAAGGUAUUGGGUCAUGUUGGUGCUUUUGGUUGAGGUCCCGGGAGCCUCAGGGUGGUUUCAGAUGGCUAACGGGGAGGUUUGAUGUUUAAUGCAGCUUUAGAUAUUGCUGCUUCUGGUAUUUUCACACCUGCAGUUUGGGGGCCGCAGGUACGGCACCGCAUAUGUGAUGGAAUGGCCGCAGAAGCGGAUCGUGAGGACUUGCCAGUGACCGCAACUCCGCAGAUGCGGAGGAUUUAUCGCAGAAGCAAAAAAUGUCCUGAUGAGCAGCGACCGCAGAAGCAGUUAGUGUGACCGCAUCUGCGAUGUCGCAGAUGCGGAAGUGUGAUCGCAGAUGCGAUUUUUGGUCCUUAAGUGAUAUCCGCAGAAGUGGAUGGUAGACCGCAAAUGCGGUACCGCAGAAGCGGGUUUUGGACCGCAGAUGUGGAAAGGCCUGGGCAGAAGGUAUAUAUUUCAUCCUUCGCGAUUUUUGAAGGGUUUAACCAUUUUUGAACUCCGAAUUGGGAGCUUUGGGCGAUUUUGAAGAGAGAAAUCAAAGAGACUUCGUUGAGGUAAGGAUUUUGAAUUUAAAACACACUUCUAUGGUAAUAUUUCAUGUAUUGGGGCUGAAAUUUAAGGAAUUAAAGAACUAAAAAUGGAUGUUUAGGGCUUGAGUUUAAGAGAGCUUAAAUUGAGGAUUUGAGGGGUCAUUUGAACUCCGAUUCUUGUGUUUUUGAUAUGUAUGAAUUCGUGGGGAGACGAGAAGUCUAAUGAUGUUAAAAUUUCUGAGUUUCGAGAACUGGGCCCGGGUUUUUUGGUAAUUUUGGGAUUUUUGGUAUUUUUCAAUUGUUUUAGCUUGGGCUUUGUUCCCUUAGCAUAUUGUGACGUAUUCGUUCUGAUUUCAGGUAAUAUUUGUAAAUGAUGUUCUGAGGGUUUGAAACCCCAGAUUGCACAUCGUAGUGCUAUAUUGAGGUGAGGCACGUGCUUGUUGACGAGCGUGGAGUCGUGCACUAUUGCAGAUUGUGACUUGGUCCGUCCCGAUUGAUGAUUUUACUGCGUAUUUGACUGAAACUUAUUUGUUAUCAUCAUGAUUUGAGCUGAUUGCCAUAUUUGGGCUUCGUGCCAACUAUUUGAACCCUUGGGAGAUUUUUAUUACUAUUCUCUCACUGCUUUGACUUAUUAAUUGAACUCAGUCAUGUUAUUUUUCACUGUUUUACCACUUAGCCAUUUUUACUCCGUUUUGAGAUUUAAAUGAUAUUCUAAAUGAUGUUUUGGGCUGAGAAAUACUGUUUUACUAAUGCCCGAGGGGCUUGUGAGUAUUUUUGACUGAGUAAGGCCGAGGGCCUAGUUGUAAGGAAACACUAAUACUGAUUGAGGUCGAGGGCCUGAGAUAUGUACACCACGAGGUGGCUUUUUGAUAUUGUUUAUGAGGCCAAGGGCCUGAGAUAUAUACGCCACGAGAUGGCUUGACUGAUAUGAGGUCGAGGGCCUAGAUUUGAUGCCACGAGAUGGCUUGAUAUUGUGCUUGGGCUGUAAGGGGCCCCUCCUGGAGUCUGUACACCCCCAGUGAGUGCGGGUACCCAUUGUGAUGUGAGAUUGAGCCCGAGGGGCUAGCACUAUUCUGAGAUUGAACCCGAGGGGCUGGUACUGUUCUGCGAUGUUGCCCGAGGGGCGGUUUUGUUGAUACUCUGCCCGAGGGGCGAACUUUUACUUAUUAUUUACCUGUUAAUUACUUGUUAUACCUGCUGAAAAAGGGAUUUUACAUGAUUCUUCACCGAUUUACUGAUUUUAAGUGAUUUUACUGCUUCAGUAUAGAAUGCUUUGUGCCUUACGUGUUUUCUUACCUUCAGUCAUUAUUUAUAUUUAUUACUCACUGGGUCGGAGUACUCACAUUACUCCCUGCUCCAUGUGUGCAGAUUCAGGCGUCAUUGGUUCCGCUCAUGAGUGCUGAUUCCUCCAGUCCCAGGCGGUAUUCGGAGACUACGAGGUAGCUGUUGGCGUCCGCAGCCCCGUGUCUCUACUAUCCUGUCAUUUCUAUUUCCUUCAAACAUUUGUACUAGAUAUUGGAUUUAGCAUACUUGUAUCAUGGUCUAUAGCUGCUCGUGACUUGUGACACCCCGGUUAGGGCUGUGUCGGGUUGGACUUUUCCGCAUUGUUAUCGUUAUUUCCGCUAUUCAGGGUUAUUAAUCAUGUUUAGACUAUUUUUGUGUUGCUUAGCUGUUUUAAAGGCGAAUUGGGUUAAACUGACUGGCCUUGUCUUCACGAGAGGCGCCAUCACAACCGGGUUCGGGGUUGGGGUCGUG